rnacentral:miRNA from 1 species
AUUAUUGGGUUGGCCAGACAGUUUGUUCAAAUUUUUCAUAAGAUGGUAUAGAAAAACCUGAAUGAACUUUUUGGCCAAAUCAAUAUA